rnacentral:rRNA from 1 species
UACGGGGGGGGCAAGCGUUGUUCGGAAUUACUGGGCGUAAAGGGCGCGUAGGCGGCUCACUAAGUCGGAUGUGAAAACUCUGGGCUCAACCCAGAGCCUGCAUCCGAAACUGGUGGGCUAGGGUGCUGGAGGGGAAAGCGGAAUUCCUGGUGUAGCGGUGAAAUGCGUAGAUAUCUGGAGGAACACCGGUGGCGAAGGCGGCAUCCUGGACCGAUAUUGACGCUGAUGCGCGAAAGCCAGGGGAGCAAACGGG